CAGCCGCCGCGGGAAUACGUAGGUGGCAAGCGUUGUCCGGAAUUAUUGGGCGUAAAGGGCUCGCAGGCGGUUUCUUAAGUCUGAUGUGAAAGCCCCCGGCUCAACCGGGGAGGGUCAUUGGAAACUGGGAAACUUGAGUGCAGAAGAGGAGAGUGGAAUUCCACGUGUAGCGGUGAAAUGCGUAGAGAUGUGGAGGAGCACCAGUGGCGAAGGCGACUCUCUGGUCUGUAACUGACGCUGAGGAGCGAAAGCGUGGGGAGCGAACAGGAUUAGAUACCCGGGUAGUCCCUGUCUCUUAUAA
rnacentral:rRNA from 1 species